rnacentral:lncRNA from 9 species
AACCUCUGUCCUGGCAAAAGGAAGAUGCUGGCCAGGCCACCAGCUGCCCCGCUUUGCAGAUGGGUGUCCGAUCUGUCCUCAGCCACAUGUGGGGCUCGGCCAGCGGCUCGGGCCUAGUGGGGAGCUGGCCGGGCUCCAGUGAGUCAUGGGGAUUGGGCUGGGAGCGCGCCCCUGCUCCCCGAGACAACAUCUGCUGAGAGGAACAGCUGUCUCCACGCUGCGCCGCGGCUCCCGUGGGAACAUGAAGCGUUGCUGCUUGAAAGCUGUGACGACGUGAACACGCGGUGGUUUAGCAGCUCUGGAUCCUCUCUGGGCCGAUGGGGCCCGUUCUCCACGUGCUGGGGGAUGGCGACAUGAAGGGUAUCUUCCUCCCUCAUCUGGACAGAAUGGUACAGACGGACUCUCUGGUCCUGUUUGACUUGCAUCCCCAAUCACUGCGGCCAGGAAAAAAAAAAUGGUUUUUCAUGGAUUGGCCAAUUUUAGUUCCAGGGCCCAUCUCUGCAGUCAAGAGGCGGGGUGUGAUGUGGCAUGGACAGCCUAUAAAAUCGGAUUGUGAUGAUCAUGGAACAACUAUAAAUGUCGUAAAUUCAUUGAGUAAUUAAAAAAAAAAAAGAGGUGGAGUCUGGAAAUUGACAGCCCCAACAGAACCCUGCAAAAGGAGGGAAGAAAGAGUCUUCAAAGGAAAUUUGAUUACUAUCACCAAGAGGAGGAGGGAAAGGGG